GCUACGGGUAGCAGCAGUGGGGAAUAUUGCACAAUGGGGGAAACCCUGAUGCAGCGACGCCGCGUGAGUGAAGAAGUAUUUCGGUAUGUAAAGCUCUAUCAGCAGGAACGAGACAAGACGGUACCUGACUAAGAAGCCCCGGCUAACUACGUGACAGCAGCCGCGGUAAUACGUCGGGGGCAAGCGUUAUCCGGAAUCACUGGGUGUACAGGGAGCGUAGACGGCUGAGCAAGCCUGAAGUGAAAGGCGGGGGACCAACCCGUGGACUGCUUUGGGAACUGUACGGCUGUAGGGCAGGAGAGGUAAGUGGAAUUCCUAGUGUAGCGGUGAAAUGCGUAGAGAUUAGGAGGAACACCAGUGGCGAAGGCGGCUUACUGGACUGUAACUGACGUUGAGGCUCGAAAGCGUGGGGAGCAAACAGGAUUAGAUACCCCAGUAGUC
rnacentral:rRNA from 1 species